CAGCAGCCGCGGGAAUACCGAGGGUGCGAGCGUUAAUCGGAUUUACUGGGCGUAAAGCGUGCGUAGGCGGCUUCUUAAGUCGGAUGUGAAAUCCCUGAGCUUAACUUAGGAAUUGCAUUCGAUACUGGGAAGCUAGAGUAUGGGAGAGGAUGGUAGAAUUCCAGGUGUAGCGGUGAAAUGCGUAGAGAUCUGGAGGAAUACCGAUGGCGAAGGCAGCCAUCUGGACUAAUACUGACGCUGAGGUACGAAAGCAUGGGGAGCAAACAGGAUUAGAUACCCGCGUAGUCCCUGUCUCUUAUAC
rnacentral:rRNA from 1 species